AGAGUUUGAUCAUGGCUCAGAUUGAACGCUGGCGGCAGGCCUAACACAUGCAAGUCGAACGGUAACAGGAAUAGCUUGCUANUCGCUGACGAGUGGCGGACGGGUGAGUAAUGCUUGGGAACUUGCCUUUGCGAGGGGGAUAACAGUUGGAAACGACUGCUAAUACCGCAUAAUGUCUACGGACCAAACGGGGCUUAGGCUCCGGCGCAAAGAGAGGCCCAAGUGAGAUUAGCUAGUUGGUAAGGUAAAGGCUUACCAAGGCAACGAUCUCUAGCUGUUCUGAGAGGAAGAUCAGCCACACUGGAACUGAGACACGGUCCAGACUCCUACGGGAGGCAGCAGUGGGGAAUAUUGCACAAUGGGGGAAACCCUGAUGCAGCCAUGCCGCGUGUGUGAAGAAGGCCUUCGGGUUGUAAAGCACUUUCAGUCUGUGAGGAAAAGUUAGUAGUUAAUUCCUGCUAG
rnacentral:rRNA from 1 species